GAUGUUUUAUUUUAUUAUACUAUUAUUUUUUAUUUUAAAUACUGGAUAGAACGAUAUCAAAUCCGAGAUGUGAUUGACAAUCUAAAAACCAAUAAGAGUCGUCCCUCACAGAAUCUGGACACGCCCCUACAACAUCAUUGGCAGACGAUAUCAAUUCGCGGGGUUUAAUGACAACUGAUGGAAAAAGCCAGUGACUGUCGAUGAGUAAUUGGGUUUAGUGCGACGACUUUGCAAACAGCAAAACAAGCGAAGAAAGCCCAGGGAAACCCUAUCACAGGAGUGCCAUGUUGAGCCUACCAAGCCAUUAGACCCUGGAAAGCCUUGAAGACCCUAAGCACAAGCAGCAGAACUGUAUCAACCCAGUCUUGAUG